UUGGAGGGCAAGUCUGGUGCCAGCAGCCGCAGUAAUUCCAGCUCCAAUAGCGUAUAUUAAAGUUGUUGCAGUUAAAAAGCUCGUAGUUGAACUUCGAGAUUUGUCCUAUGGUCGGGCUUUACGGUCCGUACAGUAGUGGCGAAUUUCUACCUUCUGAAGAACCUUCAUGUCAUUAAUUUGGUGAGUUGGGAAAUCAGGACUGUUACUUUGAAAAAAUUAGAGUGUUUAAAGCAGGCUUACGUCUGAAUAUAUUAGCAUGGAAUAAUGAAAUAGGACGGAUCGGUUCUAUUUUGUUGGUUUCUAGGAUCACCGUAAUGAUUAAUAGGGAUAGUUGGGGGCAUUAGUAUUCAAUUGUCAGAGGUGAAAUUCUUGGAUUUAUUGAAGACUAACUUCUGCGAAAGCAUUUGCCAAGGAUGUUUUCAUUAAUCAAGAACGAAAGUUAGGGGAUCGAAGACGAUCAGAUACCGUCGUAGUCUUAACCAUAAACUAUGCCGACUAGGGAUCGGACGAAGUUAAUUUUUAGAUGACUCGUUCGGCGCCUUACGGGAAAC
rnacentral:rRNA from 1 species